rnacentral:rRNA from 1 species
AUUGAACGCUGGCGGCAGGCCUAACACAUGCAAGUCGAACGAGUGGCGGACGGGUGAGUAAUGUCUGGGAAACUGCCUGAUGGAGGGGGAUAACUACUGGAAACGGUAGCUAAUACCGCAUACCAUCAGAUGUGCCCAGAUGGGAUUAGCUCGUAGGUGGGGUAACUGGUCACCAAGGCGACGAUCCCUCGCUGGUCUGAGAGGAUGACCAGCCACACUGGAACUGAGCCACGGUCUAGACUCCUACGCGAGGCAGCAGUGGGGAAUAUUGCACAAUGGGCGCAAGUCUGAUGCAGCCAUGCCGCGUGUAUGAAGAAGGCCUUCGGGUUGUAAAGGACUUUCAGCGGGGCGGCGUUACCCGCAGAAGAAGCACCGGCUAACUCCGUGCCAGCAGCCGCGGUAAUUC